GUCUAUGGCCAUGCUACCCUGAAUAAGCCCGAUCCAUUCUGAUCUCGGAAGCUAAGCAGGAUGGGGCCUGGUUAGUACUUGAAUGAGAGACCACCUAGGAAGACCAAGUGCUGUAGGUG
rnacentral:rRNA from 1 species